rnacentral:rRNA from 1 species
AUUGAACGCUGGCGGAAUGCUUUACACAUGCAAGUCGAACGGUAGAGGGGGCAACCCCUCGAGAGUGGCGAACGGGUGAGUAAUAUAUCGGAACGUGCCCAGUCGUGGGGGAUAACGUAGCGAAAGUUACGCUAAUACCGCAUACGAUCUACGGAUGAAAGCGGGGGACUCGCAAGAGCCUCGCGCGAUUGGAGCGGCCGAUAUCAGAUUAGGUAGUUGGUGGGGUAAAGGCUCACCAAGCCAACGAUCUGUAGCUGGUCUGAGAGGACGACCAGCCACACUGGAACUGAGACACGGUCCAGACUCCUACGGGAGGCAGCAGUGGGGAAUUUUGGACAAUGGACGCAAGUCUGAUCCAGCCAUUCCGCGUGCAGGAUGAAGGCCCUCGGGUUGUAAACUGCUUUUGUACGGAACGAAAAGGUCUCUCUUAAUACGAGGGGCUCAUGACGGUACCGUAAGAAUAAGCACCGGCUAACUACGUG